rnacentral:rRNA from 1 species
UUUCUCUGGAAAAAGUAUGUGGAGAAAAAUAAAAAGUAUGGCGGUCUUUUAUCUUGUCAGAGGGACAUGUAUAUAUAUAACGAAUUUGCACGAAAAUCUGUCCUAAUUUUGAAUAAUUCAUUAUGUACACCGCUGUCUGAAAGAAAUUAUAAAAGUAUUUUCUUUUUUCUCUUAUAGAAAUAAGACAAGUUAAGGUGCAGAUUAUAGUUAGGGUAAUAUGUGUUCCAAUAUAAAUUAUAGUUCUACUUAUGAAAAUUUUAGUAAAGAGAAUUUGAUAGUAAGAUUAACAAGUAAAUUAAUCUGAAGACGAGCUAUAAGAGGUGU